rnacentral:rRNA from 1 species
UCUGGCAGUCUUUGGCUGUCCGAGUUGUAGUCUGGAGAAGUGUUUUCCGCGCUGGACCGUGUACAAGUCUCUUGGAAUAGAGCGUCAUAGAGGGUGAGAAUCCCGUCUUUGACACGGACCGCCAGUGCUUUGUGAUGCGCUCUCAAAGAGUCGAGUUGUUUGGGAAUGCAGCUCAAAAUGGGUGGUAAAUUCCAUCUAAAGCUAAAUAUUGGCGAGAGACCGAUAGCGAACAAGUACCGUGAGGGAAAGAUGAAAAGCACUUUGGAAAGAGAGUUAAACAGUACGUGAAAUUGCUGAAAGGGAAACGCUUGAAGUCAGUCGCGUUGUCCAGAACUCAGCCUGGCUUUUGCUUGGUGCAUUUUCUGGAUAACGGGCCAGCAUCAAUUUUGAUCGUUGGAUAAAGGUCUUGGGAAUGUGGCACCUUCGGGUGUGUUAUAGCCCUUGAUUGCAUACAACGAUUGGGAUUGAGGAUCUCAGCAUGCCUUUAUGGUCGGGGUUCGCCCACGUUCAUGCUUAGGAUGCUGGCGUAAUGGCUUUAAUCGACCCGUCUUGAAACACGGACCAAGGAGUCUAACAUGCCUGCGAGUAUUUGGGUGGUAAACCCGAGUGCGCAAUGAAAGUGAAAGUUGGGAUCUCUGUCGCGGAGAGCACCGACGCCCGGACCAGACCUUCUGUGACGGUUCCGCGGUGGAGCAUGUAUGUUGGGACCCGAAAGAUGGUGAACUAUGCCUGAAUAGGGUGAAGCCAGAGGAAACUCUGGUGGAGGCUCGUAGCGAUUCUGACGUGCAAAUCGAUCGUC